rnacentral:rRNA from 1 species
GGGUGAGUAAUGUCUGGGAAACUGCCUGAUGGAGGGGGAUAACUACUGGAAACGGUGGCUAAUACCGCAUAACGUCGAAGACCAAAGAGGGGGACCUUCGGGCCUCUUGCCAUCAGAUGUGCCCAGAUGGGAUUAGCUAGUUGGUGAGGUAACGGCUCACCAAGGCGACGAUCCCUAGCUGGUCUGAGAGGAUGACCAGCCACUCUGGAACUGAGACACGGUCCAGACUCUCGGGAGGCAGCAGUGGGGAAUAUUCCACAAUGGGCGCAAGCCUGAUGCAGCCAUGGCGCGUGUAUGAAGAAGGCCUUCGGGUUGUAAAGUACUUUCAGCGGGGAGGAAGGUGUUGUGGUUAUUAACCGCAGCAAUUGACGAUACCCGCAGAAGACACCGGCUAACUCCGACCCACCAGCCGCGGUAAUACGGAGGGUGCAAGCGUUAAUCGGAAUUACUGGGCGUAAAGCGCACGCAGGCGGUCUGUCAAGUCGGAUGUGAUAUCCCCGGGCUCAACCUGGGAACUGCAUACGAAACUGGCAGGCUUAUCUUGUAGAGGGGGGUAGAAUUCCAGGUGUAGCGGUGAAAUGCGUAGACAUCUGGAGGAAUACCGGUGGCGAAGGCG